CUUCAGUGAUGAUACGAUGACGAGUCGGAUUGGGGCGCAUCUCUGAGGAUUCUGGGUCAGGGUCACGUUCUGUGCCUCUGGCUUUAGGUCUUCAGACAUGUUUGUCCUCUUAGAUUGAAGACAUCGAGGCAUUUGUCUGAGAAGG